rnacentral:rRNA from 1 species
CCUACGGGAGGCAGCAGUGAGGAAUAUUGGUCAAUGGGCGGGAGCCUGAACCAGCCAAGCCGCGUGAGGGAAGAAGGUACAGCGUAUCGUAAACCUCUUUUGUCAGGGAACAAAGGCGGGGACUAGUCCCCGGAUGAGGGUACCUGAAGAAAAAGCAUCGGCGAACUCCGUGCCAGCAGCCGCUGUAAUACGGAGGAUGCGAGGGUUAUCCGGAUUUAUUGGGUUUAAAGGGUGCGAAGGCGGCAUGUUAAGUCAGCGGUAAAAGCCCGGGGCUCAACCCCGGCGCGCCGUUGAAACUGGCGGGCUGGAGUUGGAGAGAAGUAGGCGGAAUGCGCGGUGUAGCGGUGAAAUGCUUAGAUAUCGCGCAGAACCCCGAUUGCGAAGGCAGCAUACCGGCUCCACACUGACGCUGAGGCACGAAAGCGUGGGUAUCGAACAGGAUUAGAUACCCGAGUAGUC